UUAUGGCCAUAUCACAUCAAAACACUGGCCUUUGUACAAUCACUGAAGUUAAGCAAUAUUCAGACUGUUCAGUACCUAGAUGGGUGACCGUUUGGGAAUACCAGGUGCUGCAA